GAUGAACGCUGGCAGAAUGCUUAACACAUCAGCGAUGGAUUGGUGGCGGACGGGUGAGUAACGCGAAAAGAACUUGCCUCACAGGUAGGGACAACAUUUGGAAACGAAUGCUAAUACAUAAUACUGUGAGAGAGCUUUGCGUCACAUUAGAUAGUUGGAGAGGUAACGGCUCACCAAGGCGAUGAUGGGUAGCCGGACUGAGAGGGUGACCGGCCCCAAGGUGCAGGGGAAGCGGGCCGUACGGAUUCGUGAGGAAUGAGUGGGGACUUUUGGAAAACAGACCAAAGUCUGAUGAAGCAAUUCGGUGUGUAAGAUGAAGUUUUCGGAAUGUAAAGUUAUUUCAUUUUGGAAGCGGUAUCAACAGAAGAAGUGACGGCUAAAUACGUGCCAGCAGCCGCGGUAAUAC
rnacentral:rRNA from 1 species